GUACGUCAGCAAAUGAUUAAUCUUUUCCUGAGUGGCAACUCUUCCUGAGUCAUGCCUGCUAUAAAAAAGAAUUCUGAAUGCAGUCGGAUUGGGAAUGUUUUCCACAAGUUGAUGAGGCAGAUUGGAAAUCCAGUUGAUUUUGAACUUCCUGAUUGGUUUAGCAAAUGGAAGCCUAUGCCAUAUACCUUCAUUAGGCGUAAUGUCUACCUCACAAAGAAAUUUAAAAGACGG
rnacentral:misc_RNA from 1 species